rnacentral:rRNA from 1 species
GCUAGUAAUCGCGGAUCAGAAUGCCGCGGUGAAUACGUUCCCGGGUCUUGUACACACCGCCCGUCACACCAUGGGAGUCGGAAAUGCCCGAAGUCUGUGACCCAACCGUAAGGAGGGAGCAGCCGAAGGCAGGUCGGAUGACUGGGGUGAAGUCGUAACAAGGUAUC